UGGCUCAGAUGGUAAAGAAUCUGCCUGCAAUGCAGGAGACUCAGGUUCGAUUCCUGG
rnacentral:tRNA from 1 species